rnacentral:rRNA from 1 species
UACGUAGGGUGCGAGCGUUAAUCGGAAUUACUGGGCGUAAAGCGUGCGCAGGCGGUUUGUUAAGACAGGUGUGAAAUCCCCGAGCUCAACUUGGGAAUGGCGCUUGUUACUGGCAAGCUAGAGUGUGUCAGAGGGGAGGUAGAAUUCCACGUGUAGCAGUGAAAUGCGUAGAGAUGUGGAGGAAUACCGAUGGCGAAGGCAGCCUCCUGGGAUAACACUGACUCAUGCACGAAAGCGUGGGGGAGCAAACAGG